CUCCUUUCGUUAAGAUAAAUUCUCCAGUAGACAACCUCUCUCACUAAUUGUGUAUUAGCAACGUAUUUUAUUUUGAGAGCUGUACACUGGGCUCUCAAUGUGGUGUGGAAGGUAGCCUGUUACAGUGCUGGAUUCAUAAAAGGGCCUUUAUGGUUUGUGAAAGAAUAUCUGUGUGCUUAGGGAGGAAACUUUUUGAUCUGCAGAAAAGCCAGAAAGAAGACAUCUAGGACAUCCAUAAAAAUUCUUCAGAGGGUGUUUUACUACUGAGCUGCAAAGGGAAAAACUUAAAAUGGAUAUGAAAAGUGAAGAAAGUGAUCAUAGGAGAAAACCAUUUCAGGUGUCUGAUGAUUUGUGAGCCUCAAGUGACUACUCUGUGGAAUCACCUGUCCUUGCCUUUGAAUUAGCUUUCCGUAGGCCAUGAGUCAACAUUAGUAGUUUAUACAUCCAAAUUGAUGACAAGAGCACCUCAAAGGCAGCAGCCUCAAGAAGCAGCCAUGGCCCCAGAGUUGUCCCACGGAUGCAGAAAACUUAAUGGAGGAGGCUGAGGUCAGAAUGGGAAGAG
rnacentral:lncRNA from 1 species